rnacentral:lncRNA from 1 species
UCUGGAACAGAUACUCAGACUCAAAGCUCACUGGAGAGCAGAAUGAGUAUUCCAAAAAUGGCCAUCAUAUGUCUGGACCCAUAUUCUCUUCUAGAACAUUGCCCCUACUCCAUCAAGAAGUUGAGUGUAUGUACUUCUCUCUGAACCUGGGUUGCCUCUCAUAUCUCCUCAUCAUAUAUACCUCUUCAAAUUCAAUCGAGAUUUCAAUUCUUCUCACUUCUCCCCAACCUUACUUUGAUCUCCUGGUAAUUUUAGAGUAAUUGAGAAUAUUUUCUAACAUACGUGUCAACAUAAUGAAGGAGCUGGGACCUAAAUGAAGAAGCGACAGAAUUUACAGUGGCUUUGAAUGCUGGUUCCUGAAUGGAUUUGCUUGACUGCAAUUCAAUCUUUUUUGUGGCUCAAGGCUCA